rnacentral:rRNA from 1 species
UGGGGAAUAUUGGACAAUGGGCGAAAGCCUGAUCCAGCCAUGCCGCGUGUGUGAAGAAGGUCUUCGGAUUGUAAAGCACUUUAAGUUGGGAGGAAGGGCAGUAAGCGAAUACCUUGCUGUUUUGACGUUACCGACAGAAUAAGCACCGGCUAACUCUGUGCCAGCAGCCGCGGUAAUACAGAGGGUGCAAGCGUUAAUCGGAAUUACUGGGCGUAAAGCGCGCGUAGGUGGUUCGUUAAGUUGAAUGUGAAAGCCCCGGGCUCAACCUGGGAACUGCAUCCAAAACUGGCGAGCUAGAGUAGGGCAGAGGGUGGUGGAAUUUCCUGUGUAGCGGUGAAAUGCGUAGAUAUAGGAAGGAACACCAGUGGAGAAGGCGACCACCUGGGUUCAUACUGACACUGAGGUGAGAAAGCGUGGGGAGAAAACAGG